UUAGCACUUUUCACAGGUCCUCCCCCCAGGCAGUGGGGCUAGGAUUUGGUAGCUGGUGAUGAAAAAAAAAACCUUGAUUGCAUUCUUGCUCUGGGACUGUGCCAGUGACAGCUGUCCCUCAGUGGCCAGAA